UACGUAGGGUGCAAGCGUUAUCCGGAAUUAUUGGGCGUAAAGAGCUCGUAGGCGGUCUGUCGCGUCUGCUGUGAAAACUCAGGGCUUAACCCUGAGCUUGCAGUGGGUACGGGCAGACUAGAGUGCGGUAGGGGAGACUGGAAUUCCUGGUGUAGCGGUGAAAUGCGCAGAUAUCAGGAGGAACACCGGUGGCGAAGGCGGAUCUCUGGGCCUUACCUGACGCUCAGGUGCGAAAGCUAGGGGAGCGAACAGG
rnacentral:rRNA from 1 species